rnacentral:rRNA from 1 species
UACAGAGGGGGCAAGCGUUGUUCGGAAUUACUGGGCGUAAAGGGCGCGUAGGCGGCCUUCUAAGUCGAACGUGAAAUCCCCGGGCCCAACCCGGGAACUGCGUCCGAUACUGGAAGGCUUGAAUCCGGGAGAGGGAUGCGGAAUUCCAGGUGUAGCGGUGAAAUGCGUAGAUAUCUGGAGGAACACCGGUGGCGAAGGCAGCCCCCUGGAUUAACACUGACGCUCAGGCACGAAAGCGUGGGGAGCAAACAGG